UUUACCAUUUUCUUUACUGAAAACCCUAAAUUUUCACUCUUCAUUGAAAACCCUAACUUUUGGAAGACAAGAAAGAAGGGAGAAAGAAGGGGGAGAGCCACCAUUCUUAGAGAGAAAGAAGAGAAGAGAAAAAUGCAGGUUUUUUUUCAUCUUGCCCAGAUUACAUCAAAGGUCUGAUCCCACUUAGUCCGUGAUCCGAUCGAGCUAAAAUUUGCAGGAAAGUUUCAUGACUCAUUCAUCUUCAAUCUGAACGGUGAGGAUCGGAUUUGGAGUUUUGGAAAGUCAUUAGAAAGAAAGAGGAGAAGAGAGAAAAACGCAGGUUUUUCUCAUCAUACCCAGAUUUCAUCAAAUGUCCGAUCCCGCUUCGUCCGUAGUCGGAUCGAGUUGAAAUUUGGAGGAGAGGUUUGUGGCUCAUGUAUCUUCAAUAUGAACGGUGGAGAUUGGAUUUUCAGUUUUGGACAGUCAUUAGAGAGAAAGAGGAGAAGAGAGAAAAACGCAGGUUUUUUACAUCAUGCCCAGAUUUCAUCAAAGGAUCUUGAUGAGCCAAGUUUGAAGGACACGAUUUAUUGCCUGUAUGCUCCUCCGAUGUAUUUCAGUAAGGUGAGAUAAAUUCACUAUAACACAUUACAAAAAUGAUCUUUUUACUUUUUUGUUGAAACAUUUCUUGGACUAUUUUUCUUUUUUUAAUCUUAGAUUUUAGAUUCGGUAAUGAAAGCUAAUGCAAACAAGAAUGAAAAAGAAGCCCUAACUCGAGUUAUUGUAACCCAAGCCAAUGUUGAUAUAAAGGUCAUUGCUGAGGAAUAUAAUAAGCAAUAUGGAACUCCUCUAACCAAGAAGAUCGAAGAUGUAGCUCUUGGAAAUUAUAAAGAUUUCUUAGUCACGUUGGUUUAAAGAGCUGUUUAAUGGAAGUGAUUAAAAAUGCCUCUCUUGAUGAACUUGUUCUUUUUCUUUGAAUCAAACUCUACUUAUGCUUUAUUUUCCUAUGUUUAUAAGAGCAAAGUGUAAUAAUAAGUGUGGUGUUACUAUGAAGUAAAACUUUAAUAAAUCAUUAAUUCUAGUA